GUCACCAAAAGAGUCAGCAGCCAAUGCCACGUGUUAAUUAUUUGAAGAUUUGUUUAGUUAAAACUAGAUGAUAUUAUUUGGCAUUCCAGUUCACCAAGAAGAGCUCACUGCAAGUGUUACAAGAUGCUGAAAGCAGGGGUGGCUUUGUCCCUUUCUUUCCUGCUGUGGAAUCAGGACUCUGUUUUCCACUGGACCGGAAAUAAGGAAAGAAAUGAAAGCGGAUCCACAAGCCAGGUCUGGUUUUAAUCAGAGCCUAAUCUUUGUGAGACAACGCAAGGCUGAGAAUUUUUUAAUCUGAUAUUUUGAAAGAAAAAUCCGUGUUCCAAAAUGAUACAAACCAAUCAGCCUUAGGAGAACGAUGGAGAAAAGAAAUCUCUUGCAUAAAAGAGAAGCAGGAAAUUCCAGAGAAGUUUCACAGGGAGGAGGGGAAAACCCAAGGUGUAAAGAUAAUUCAGAAGAAAGUACAAAGUUUUCAACUAACGCAGAUGAAACAGUUGGAUAUUCUUAUGCAAAAAAUAAUUCCAGUCCAAUCCUGGCACUUAUACGAAAAGUGAAUGGAUGAACAAAUUGUGGCCCAUCCACACAAUGGAAUAGUACUUAGCAAUGAAAAAGGAACGAGCUGUGGACACAUGGAAGGACGUGGAUAAAGCUCAAAGUAAUCAUGCUGGCGAGGAAGCCAGAGAAAAAUCAGCACAGACUGUGUGAUUCCAUUCAUACCAUAAACUGACCUCUGGGGACAGAAGGCAGGCUGAGUUUCUGCAUGAUUGAAACACCAUCUUCAGUUUCAAAGGAGCUCAGAUGCACUGGAACAUCUCCAGAUACUCGGAUGGUGCAGGAGACUCAGACCCACGGCAGGAACUGGUGAAGGAUCUGCAGGUUCUUCUGAUGUAGGGAAUUCCAGAGGGAUCCUAUCCUGCACUUCGUGGGAGUCCUACAGGGAAUUCUGCAUCAGAAAAGGCUGGUCUGUGUGUGUCUCAGCCAUAAAGAAGAAUGAAAUAAUGCAACAUGGAUGGACCUAGAGAUAAUCAUACUGAGUGAAAGAGAAGGCCUCUUAAGACAAGUGGGAUUUCAUGGACUUUGAGUAAGGAAACGUUGUAUUGCCCAAGUGUAUCUUGGCACAGACGAUCUCAGCUUCAAAAAUUCCAAGAUAUAUAAAGAGGUUCACAUAGCUGAAGCUAUUAUAGUUGGUUAUAUGCCACUGACACUUUUCCCCCCUUCGUUCUUGCAGAGAAGUGAAGUGAUGACUGAAUUUCUACUAAAAAAUUUGUUCUCUCCUCCGUGCAACCAUAGGAUCUAUUCUUGACAGAAUCAUUUACUUGUUCCAAAAAGAAAAAUGGAGAGUUCAUAGUGAUGUGGGGCCCUUGGGGAUUUCUUGGACAAGACCUGCAGAGUCAAAGAUUUCCACCAUUCUUCUAGAAGAAUGAUCUAGCAGCCUGUCCUGGUGAGCUUGCCAAAUUGCUCAUCCUUGGCUAAAAACCACAGGCCCUUGAAAGGAUUUUUUCCCCGUAGAACAAUAGAGCAUCACUUGACGGAAGGUAAGCACACUUGUGUGAUGUCUCUGGGCGCUUUUAUGGGCUGAGGAUAAACUCUUGUAAAGGACCUGUAUCACCUGCCAGGUUGACACAUUCACAUCCACUUAGGCUGAAAAGAAGAUCACUUGUGAAGAAGAACAGACGUGCCUUUUUAAAACACAAGCCUUGCUUGGUUUUCAAUGCUAUUUGGUAAGUAGGUGGAGAAAUAAGAAGGGCUUUGAUUAUUUUUUCCCCAAACUUUAGAGUGUUACGGGGCAUGGCUGUUCUUAAGUGGAAAGUUCUGAUAGACUUGAGGACGCUUCUGUGCAACACAUAAACUUCUCUGGGAACAGUCCUUCUGGGCAGGGACUUUGUCUGUCUCUUAGGAAGUCCCCAGCCCUGUUGAUGACCUCAGCACAGAGAAAUGUAACCAGGCUGAGUGUAGCCACGUCUGUCCCCAGGACCUCACUGUAUUUCCAAGCUGCAUGGCCUCAGCUUCUCACAGUUACCACAAGUAAUGUUGGAAUCUAUUUUUGGUCCCCUUGGCCGCACUAAGAACAUUUGCUAGAAAAUAACAAAUAGGGGUCCAAAAAAUGAUGUUCAGUAAUCUGUCAGCGGAAAGUAAGAGAUCUGCCAUGUUGCUUCCCCCAGGGCUUAAGAUCCUGCCACCAAUGCCGAUUCUGAGUUGUGAUUUUAAUAUGCCAAUAAAAUGGAGUGAUGCCUAAGAGAAGCCAUCUGGCGAUGUGCGGAAGAGCAGGAAGCUAUUCCCGGGCCCAGCUGUGCCUGGUAUACAAUUCUUGUGAGUCAGAUGCUCGCUUUCUGCCCAGCUGGAGCCAAACAGCUCAGGGAUAGAUGGAAAAGAAGGGGAACUGCGUUAGGAGUUAGGACCCGAAGUCAAGGUGCAGAGCUGCCCUGAGUGAGUCCUGUGCCCUCAGGUGAGCCACGUUAAUCCUCAGAGGCGCCGCUCUCUCCAGCAAGAUGAGAGGCUCUUCUGUCCUGCGAUGCGAAUCUUCCGCAUCUUCCUUCGGGCUGUACCGCUCAAGGUGGCUGACCCGACUCUCCUUCCCAGCCCAGGGAGCCCAGGGAAGAGGCUAGCGGGCCCAGUGGUCAGUGUGCUGGGCUCCUGAGAAGGGCCAGGGAGCUAGGGCUUCAGAGAACACCCACACGGCACAGGAAGCCGAGACUGGGGCCUGGCUCCACCUUCCAUGCAGGAAAGGAAGCGAUGACCUCUCCUAUCGUGGGCGUCCCAGCUGCAGGAACGGCACACCCAACCCGGAUCCUAUGCUGGACCUUCUGUGUGCACAGGAAAAUACUGGCAGACGGGUUUUCUUGCAGAACGACUGUUCAAUUUCUAUAAAGAUAGAUUCAUCUGUUGUGAACAAGGCUGAAGAUUAUUUUCAUGCAUAAGAUAAAUCACUGGAAGAGACAGUAAAGCAUUCAAAAUGUACUUUAUGUCCUACCAGAGAAAAAUCCAAAUCACUCUUCUCCACAGUGAAUUCAUGGUUUCCUGCAAGAUAAGAUCUCAUCCUGUUAAGGACUUCAUCUUGGAAGAAGAGAGAGCAUCAUCUCUCAAGGGAGCUCCAGUAUCAUAAUUCAUAAAAUCAAAUAUAUCAAUAAACACAGCUCUAAUUUUAAAAUAGCCAUCCAAGUCUCUGGAACCUAGAGCCUAAACACUCGAUGUUAAACUGUAGUAUUUUAUAAUAACAUAAAUCUGUAAAAGAGAACAAAUAAUUGUUUAAUUAUUUAAAAGUUUUCAUUCUCAUGAAUAAAAUUUAAAUGCUCAGCAAUC